rnacentral:tRNA from 1 species
GCCGGCCUAGCUCAAUUGGUAGAGCAACUGACUUGUAAUCAGUAGGUUGGGGGUUCAAGUCCUCUGGCCGGCGCCA